UUUUCGUAGGAAGUUAGACGAGAGGGUAGGUGCUUGUCUGCCUUGUUCCGGAAAGCGGCCGCCAUUUUGUUUCGUGGGACUGAAAUAAUAGGGAGGGAGAGAAGGACGGAGGCUUCCUUUCGGAUGCAGGGAAGGGAAUGGUCCUGCAAGAUUCUACCUUGAUGUUACGGAAUGGAAAACCCUGCAAGCAACUGUUGCUCCUUGAUAAAGUAUUGUUGAGAGCAUGCACUCUUAUGUAAAUAAAAGUUCCAAGAAAACUGUGUGGACCCUUUCUUAAUAGGCUCAAAGCACUGCCUUUAAACUGGUGCAUGGCCUCCUCAUGGCCUCACUGGCUACGCUGCAGUGCAAAAAUAAAGAACUUGCUUAUAACUGAUGUUGCUCAGCUGAAAACUGAGUGAUAUUUUUAAAGGCAAGUUACAUUUCAU